UACGUAGGGGGCAAGCGUUGUCCGGAAUCAUUGGGCGUAAAGCGCGUGUAGGCGGCCAGAAAAGUCCGCUGUGAAAACUCGAGGCUCAACUUCGAGCUGUCGGUGGAAACUUUCUGGCUAGAGUCCGGAAGAGGAGAAUGGAAUUCCUGGUGUAGCGGUGAAAUGCGCAGAUAUCAGGAGGAACACCAAUUGCGAAGGCAGCUCGCUGGGACGUUACUGACGCUGAGACGCGAAAGCGUGGGGAGCAAACAGG
rnacentral:rRNA from 1 species